ensembl:snRNA U6 U6 spliceosomal RNA
GGGCUCACUUCAGCAGUACGUAUACUAAAAUUGGAACGAUACAGAGACGAUCAGCAUGGCAGCCGCGCAAGGAUGACACACAAAUGCGUGAAGCGUCCCAUAUAUUA